AAACCUUACUAGGGUAUGACACUGGUAUGAUUGACAGACUGCUUGAUUUUUCUUGAUUCGGUGGGUGGUGGUGCAUGGCCGGUCUUAGUUCGUGGUAUGAUCUGUCUGUUUAACUACGAUAACGAACGAGACCCAGGCUGUUUAGUUGGCUGAGUCUGUCUUACGGCAGUGUCAUGUCUCCUAUAUGGACUUUAAGUGAAAACUUAAGGAAGUUCUGGACAAAAU
rnacentral:rRNA from 1 species